rnacentral:rRNA from 1 species
GCGGCCUAUCAGCUUGUUGGUGGGGUAAUGGCCUACCAAGGCGGUGACGGGUAGCCGGCCUGAGAGGGCGACCGGCCACACUGGGACUGAGACACGGCCCAGACUCCUACGGGAGGCAGCAGUGGGGAAUAUUGCGCAAUGGGCGAAAGCCUGACGCAGCGACGCCGCGUGAGGGAUGAAGGCCUUCGGGUUGUAAACCUCUUUCAGCAGGGACGAAGCUAACGUGACGGUACCUGCAGAAGAAGCACCGGCCAACUACGUGCCAGCAGCCGCGGUAAUACGUAGGGUGCAAGCGUUGUCCGGAAUUAUUGGGCGUAAAGAGCUCGUAGGCGGCUAGUUACGUCGACUGUGAAAACCCAUGGCUUAACCGUGGGCUUGCAGUCGAUACGGGCUGGCUAGAGUUCGGUAGGGGAGACUGGAAUUCCUGGUGUAGCGGUGAAAUGCGCAGAUAUCAGGAGGAACACCGGUGGCGAAGGCGGGUCUCUGGGCCGAUACUGACGCUGAGGAGCGAAAGCGUGGGGAGCGAACAGGAUUAGAUACCCUGGUAGUCCACGCUGUAAACGUUGGGCGCUAGGUGUGGGGGUCUUUCCACGAUCUCCGUGCCGCAGCUAACGCAUUAAGCGCCCCGCCUGGGAGUACG